ACCUGCCCUAUGAGUUAUUAAAUGGCUGCAGUAUUUUGACUGUGCAAAGGUAGCAUAAUAAUUAGUUUUUUAAUUGGGAACUGGAAUGAAUGGUUGGACGAGAAAAAUACUGUCUCAAUUUAAAUUUAAUUAGAAUUUUAUUUUUAAGUUAAAAAGCUUAAAUAUUUUUAAAAGACGAGAAGACCCUAUAGAGUUUUAUAUAAAAUUUUAAUAUUUAAAAAUAAAAGUAUAGUAUUUUAAUUAUUAUUUUUUAUAUUUAGUUGGGGUGAUUGGAAAAUUGAAUAAACUUUUUUUAUAUUUAAAACAUAAAUUUAUGAAUAAUUGAUCCAUUAAUUAAUGAUUAUAAGAUUAAAUUA
rnacentral:rRNA from 1 species